rnacentral:lncRNA from 1 species
GCUUUUGUUGAAACACAGCCACAUUGUGUGGCGUACCCUGUUUGAGAUCAGCUUUCACACUGAUGAGGGUGGCUUAGCUAGAGAACCAAGGCUCUGUCUCGCAGGGCUUUCCUGAUGGUCUCCUUUGCCUUCCUUCUCCACUAAGGAGGACGGCCAGCAGCAGCUCAGCCUGUGCUAUUAACCCACCUUUUCUACACACAUCAGCCCCCUGUCCACAGCACCCAAGGCUGCCUGAGGGAUCCUUCAGCAGCUCCCAUGCGCUGACAGUGACUCUCAUGUUUCCUAGGUUUCAAGUUUCUUGCAGCAGAGCUUCCUAGAGAGGAGUCCACAGAGAAAGUCCUGGCCGUUUUCAAAGUAAGAUCUUGCUUUGACUAACAUGGGAAUUGUAUUUUUCUUGGCUUCUUCCUAUUUCAUUUGAAUUAAGAUAUGCAAACCUUACCAUGGACAUUAUAGAUAAGUUACAGAAUUUUUUGGUGGGAAAAUGUGAGAGUUCAUGACCAACUAGGAACUGGCUCCAGAUGACACGCAUAGAUGACACCUUCAGUUACAAACUGUGCAGGUAACCUUUUCCUCAGGAGAAGUGCUUACUGUUUGAAAGCAAUGGUGAAUUUGCAACAAAAAUCAUAUCGAAAGACAGAACUCUUGUGCCUGCCUUUCCACAAGUGUUUUCUAGGCUUUAUUUUGGGGCCAUUGCCUGGAGCACUAUUUCUCAUCUGGUUUUCCAAUGUAAAAGCAACUGAAGAAAAGACCUGUGCACACAGGACACAGCCUGGUCUGACGCUCACGGUGUUUUCCUUUCUCUCUGCAGAGGGACUCAGCGUGUUGGGCAAGCGGUCCCAUGGAGGAUCCCGUGGGAAAAUUCAUCUAUGAAUCAGAUGAGGAGGCCCCACGACAGUGGCAGGUCAGGCCACCUGCUGUUGUCACAGAAAAAGUUUCUUAGCUUUAUCUUCUUGAAUUAAAAUAAGAUAUGAGAAUCUGGCCGUAUAUAUCAUAGGUGACUUACACAGUGUCCUUGGUGGGGGGAAUUCUGAGUGAGUCUGUUCCCCACUGAAGCUUGAUUUAAGGCAGCAGGAGAAAAUGACAGCAUCAGCCAUGCACUGAGCGGCAGUGAGCUUUCUCCUCAGCAGCUUGAUUUUCUCCUUGGGGCAAAAUGACUUAACUGCCAAGGAACAUGACCUUGAGAGGAAACAUCGUCCAGGAGAAACUUUAGGCUGGGCGCGGUGUCUCCCACCUAUAAUCCCAGCACUUUGGGAG